GAUGAACGCUGACAGAAUGCUUAACACAUGCAAGUCAACUUGAAUUUGGGUUUUUAACUUAGAUUUGGGUGGCGGACGGGUGAGUAACGCGUAAAGAACUUGCCUCACAGCUAGGGACAACAUUUAGAAAUGAAUGCUAAUACCUGAUAUUAUGAUUUUAAGGCAUCUUAGAAUUAUGAAAGCUAUAUGCGCUGUGAGAGAGCUUUGCGUCCCAUUAGCUAGUUGGAGAGGUAACAGCUCACCAAGGCGAUGAUGGGUAGCCGGUCUGAGAGGGUGAACGGCCACAAGGGGACUGAGACACGGCCCUUACUCCUACGGGAGGCAGCAGUGGGGAAUAUUGGACAAUGGACCGAGAGUCUGAUCCAGCAAUUCUGUGUGCACGAUGAAGUUUUUCGGAAUGUAAAGUGCUUUCAGUUGGGAAGAAAAAAUGACGGUACCAACAGAAGAAGUGACGGCUAAAUACGUGCCAGCAGCCGCGGUAAUACGUAUGUCACGAGCGUUAUCCGGAUUUAUUGGGCGUAAAGCGCGUCUAGGUGGUUAUGUAAGUCUGAUGUGAAAAUGCAGGGCUCAACUCUGUAUUGCGUUGGAAACUGUAUAACUAGAGUACUGGAGAGGUAAGCGGAACUACAAGUGUAGAGGUGAAAUUCGUAGAUAUUUGUAGGAAUGCCGAUGGGGAAGCCAGCUUACUGGACAGAUACUGACGCUAAAGCGCGAAAGCGUG
rnacentral:rRNA from 1 species